rnacentral:rRNA from 1 species
GACGAACGCUGGCGGCGCGCCUAACACAUGCAAGUCGAACGGAGCUUGCUUGUCAGAUCCUUUCGGGGUGACGACUUGUAAGCUUAGUGGCGAACGGGUGAGUAACACGUGAGUAACCUGCCCCAGAGUGGGGGACAACAGUUGGAAACGACUGCUAAUACCGCAUAAUGUUAUUUAGGGGCAUCCCUGAAUAACCAAAGCUUUAUGUGCUGAAAGAUGGUCUCGCGUCUGAUUAGCUAGAUGGCGGGGUAACGGCCCACCAUGGCGACGAUCAGUAGCCGGUCUGAGAGGAUGGACGGCCACAUUGGGACUGAGAUACGGCCCAG